UGCCUGCAGAGGGAGGAUCUUUAAAAAAGAAUUUGAAAGUGAAACAUGUUAAAUGGAGCUGAAGUUCCAGGAGAAAAACAAGGGGACUAGGACAUGAGCAAGCUGCAUCUCCUCAAGACAGUAGAGGAAGCAAACCAGUAUGACAUUCUGGAUCCAAAUGGAAUGGCCUACAAGAUGGCAUUCUUCUGAAGUGACUGCAAGGAAAAAAGGCCUUGAGUAGGUCAAAGGGAAAGCAUUAAGACCAGAGGCAAUGUGAUGAUGGUAUUUGGGAAGAGAACUGGAAAAC
rnacentral:lncRNA from 1 species